GGUCUCGUUUCCGCCGUAGCGACACGCCGAUUGGUGCGCCUGAAGGCCAAACAGAAGGCCUCACCUCUUGGCGCCGGCGAUUGGCUCGGUGACGGUGACGUAAGAGUUUAGCGCGAGUAGCCCCGAGUUAAGCGGGAGAGACGAGGGCGGAGCUGCGGGUUGAGCUUUGUCCUUCCCCUCUCCCUCGGAGAGCGAGGUCCUGGGUCUCCCGCGAGGAAGCGCUUCGCCUCGGCUUCUCGCAACAGAACCGCUGGAGGCUGCUCCCAGGUGGAACUCGGGCCUCGGCCCAGGGCUCCUAUCCCGUUUCUCCCCGUGCGCACUGGUACCGCGGUCCCGCUCCGCCAGCCCCUGCCACGUACGUCAUCCGGUAGAAUCUUUUUUUUUUUUUUGACAGGCAGAGUGGACAGUGAGAGAGAGAGACAGAGAAAAAGGUCUUCCUUUGCCGUUGGUUCACCCUCCAAUGGCUGCCGCGGCCAGUGCGCUGCGGCCGGCGCACCGCGCUGAUCCGAUGGCAGGAGCCAGGAGCCAGGUGCUUUUCCUGGUCUCCCAUGGGGUGCAGGGCCCAAGCACCUGGGCCAUCCUCCACUGCACUCCCUGGCCACAGCAGAGAGCUGGCCUGGAAGAGGGGCAACCGGGACAGAAUCCGGCGCCCCGACUGGGACUAGAACCCGGUGUGCCGGCGCCGCAAGGCGGAGGAUUAGCCUAGUGAGCCACGGCGCCGGCCGCCGGUAGAAUCUUGAUGGCUUUUACAGGUCAGGAAAUAACCCCGACGAGAAUCCCCCCUUUGUCUUGUAUUUCUUUUAACUGUAGAGAGCGCGCUCCCAUCUGUGGGUUCACUCCCAGAUGCCCACCACGCAUCCAGCUGGUCCGCCGGGUGGCAGGAACCCAGACCCUUGAAAUCGGAGAUGACCCCCUAUGCCUGCCUACUUCACCCUGAGCCAGCCCUGCGCCCCUCCAGGGUAUGCCCUGGCAUUAGCCAGGACUCGAACCCAGGUACUCCAGUGUGGGGUGUGAGCAUCCAACCGCGAGGCGAGCGCCCACUCCUCCAACGUUCCUGUUCCUGCUACAGUACUGCUUGAACUCCUGCUGUAUUCUUAUUUAUUUGGAAGGCAGAGUGGACAGAGAGGGAGAAGCAGAGGUCUUCCAUGCACUGGUUCCCUCCACAGACAUCGGCAUCAGCUGGAGCCGGCCCGGCAGAAGCCAGAAACUCCCAUCUGGGACUCCCCGUGGGGGUGGCAGGGCCCUCACUUGCUGCCUCCCGGGGGAGGGGGGGAUUAGCAGAAAGCUGGGGGUGGGGCUGCACCCCAGGCACCCCACAUGGAUAGGGUACAGGUGUCUCCCGCUCCCACCUCGUUGUUUCUCUCUCUCCACAGAGUGCCUGGGGAGAAUGCUGAGCCUGAUGGGGUGUAGGAAGUGAGCAGUGAGGGCCCACGGGACACCCCUCUGUUGAUUGCGUGAAAGAAUCCACAGGGUGGGCUCGAAACCAUAAAGUCGAGUUUUUUUUUUUUUUUUUUUUUUUUUUUCAGUUAAGAAAUAUUUAUUCAGAUAAGAGAGGGGCCCUGUGGGCCAGGAGUUGGAGCUGGCCUUGGUCUCACACCUGGGACUCGGCAGGUUGGGAGGGGCACUUCCGCUUGCUGAGGUUGGUGAGGAUCUGGUGCUGGGUGGGCCGGUAGAGAACCACGAAGCUGUCCGGAGGGAGCACGGGAACUCCGUUCUCUUUCACCUGGCCCAUCAGCAGGUAACUGGCUCCUG